CCUGGCUCAGAUUGAACGCUGGCGGCAUGCUUUACACAUGCAAGUCGAACGGCAGCACGGGUGCUUGCACCUGGUGGCGAGUGGCGGACGGGUGAGUAAUACAUCGGAACGUGUCCAGAAGAGGGGGAUAACGCAUCGAAAGAUGUGCUAAUACCGCAUAUGCUCUGAGGAGGAAAGUAGGGGAUCGAAAGACCUUACGCUUUUGGAGCGGCCGAUGUCUGAUUAGCUAGUUGGUGGGGUAAGGGCCUACCAAGGCGACGAUCAGUAGUUGGUCUGAGAGGACGACCAGCCACACUGGGACUGAGACACGGUCCAGACUCCUACGGGAGGCAGCAGUGGGGAAUUUUGGACAAUGGGGGCAACCCUGAUCCAGCCAUGCCGCGUGAGUGAAGAAGGCCUUCGGGUUGUAAAGCUCUUUCGGCCGGGAAGAAAUCGCAUGGGCUAAUACCCUGUGUGGAUGACGGUACCGGAACAAGAAGCACCGGCUAACUACGUG
rnacentral:rRNA from 1 species